ACGAACGCUGGCGGCGUGCUUCACACCUGCAAGUCGAACGGAAAGGCCCUGCUUUUGUGGGGUGCUCGAGUGGCGAACGGGUGAGUAACACGUGAGUAACCUGCCCUUGACUUUGGGAUAACUUCAGGAAACUGGGGCUAAUACCGGAUAUGAGCUCCUGCUGCAUGGUGGGGGUUGGAAAGUUUCGGCGGUUGGGGAUGGACUCGCGGCUUAUCAGCUUGUUGGUGGGGUAGUGGCUUACCAAGGCUUUGACGGGUAGCCGGCCUGAGAGGGUGACCGGCCACAUUGGGACUGAGAUACGGCCCAGACUCCUACGGGAGGCAGCAGUGGGGAAUAUUGCACAAUGGGCGGAAGCCUGAUGCAGCAACGCCGCGUGCGGGAUGACGGCCUUCGGGUUGUAAACCGCUUUCGCCUGUGACGAAGCGUGAGUGACGGUAAUGGGUAAAGAAGCACCGGCUAACUACGUG
rnacentral:rRNA from 1 species